rnacentral:rRNA from 1 species
CCUACGGGUGGCAGCAGUGAGGAAUAUUGGUCAAUGGCCGUAAGGCUGAACCAGCCAAGUCGCGUGAAGGAAGAAGGAUCUAUGGUUUGUAAACUUCUUUUAUAGGGGAAUAAAGGUAUCCACGUGUGGAUAUUUGCAUGUACCCUAUGAAUAAGCAUCGGCUAACUCCGUGCCAGCAGCCGCGGUAAUACGGAGGAUGCGAGCGUUAUCCGGAUUUAUUGGGUUUAAAGGGUGCGUAGGUUGUUUUUUAAGUCAGCGGUGAAAGUUUGUGGCUCAACCAUAAAAUUGCCGUUGAAACUGGAGGACUUGAGUGUGUUUGAGGUAGGCGGAAUGCGUGGUGUAGCGGUGAAAUGCAUAGAUAUCGCGCAGAACCCCGAUUGCGAAGGCAGCGUGCCGUGCCGCCACUGACGCUGAGGCACGAAAGCGCGGGGAUCGAACAGGAUUAGAUACCCCUGUAGUC